rnacentral:rRNA from 1 species
GAACGCGAAGAACCUUACCUGGGUUUGACAUGCACCAGACAUCCCUAGAGAUAGGGCUUCCCUUGUGGUUGGUGUGCAGGUGGUGCAUGGCUGUCGUCAGCUCGUGUCGUGAGAUGUUGGGUUAAGUCCCGCAACGAGCGCAACCCUCGUUCUAUGUUGCCAGCACGUUAUGGUGGGGACUCAUAGGAGACUGCCGGGGUCAACUCGGAGGAAGGUGGGGAUGACGUCAAGUCAUCAUGCCCCUUAUGUCCAGGGCUUCACACAUGCUACAAUGGCCAGUACAGAGGGCUGCGAGACCGUGAGGUGGAGCGAAUCCCUUAAAGCUGGUCUCAGUUCGGAUUGGGGUCUGCAACUCGACCCCAUGAAGUUGGAGUCGCUAGUAAUCGCAGAUCAGCAUUGCUGCGGUGAAUACGUUCCCGGGUCUUGUACACACGC